AUUGACAGCAGCAUGGAUUGACUUCCUUGGUUGAUCUCAAAAGCUAAGCAGGCUUGGACUUAUAUGGUACUUGGAUUGGAUACUACCAGGAAAUCCUAGGAUAGUCAGCU
rnacentral:rRNA from 1 species